GUGCCAGCAGCCGCGGUAAUACGUAGGGGGCAAGCGUUGUCCGGAAUUAUUGGGCGUAAAGCGCGCGCAGGCGGUUGUUUAAGUCUGGUGUUUAAGUGCGGGGCUCAACCCCGUGACGCACUGGAAACUGGAGAACUUGAGUGCAGAAGAGGAGAGCGGAAUUCCACGUGUAGCGGUGAAAUGCGUAGAGAUGUGGAGGAACACCAGUGGCGAAGGCGGCUCUCUGGACUGUAACUGACGCUGAGGCGCGAAAGCGUGGGGAGCAAACAGGAUUAGAUACCCUGGUAGUCCACGCUGUAAACGAUGAGUGCUAGGUGUUGGGGGUAUCAUGCCCUCGGUGCCGAAGUUAACACAUUAAGCACUCCGCCUGGGGAGUACGGUCGCAAGACUGAA
rnacentral:rRNA from 1 species